UUUAAAGGGGCAGCUGCAGCCCGGGGGCCGCCCCACGUGAGGCCGGUGCGCUCCCGCCUAACGCAGCCCCGAGCGCGGAGCCGCGGCCGGGAGACGGCGGCGCCGGGGCUGGGCGGGCGGGCCGAGCGGAGCGGAGCGGAGCGGCUGCCAGCCCGCCUCACGCCAAGUUUGAUCGAUAACCCCCUCCCGGCCCGGGCGGAGCAGCCUCGCCGGCUCCGCUACCCACCAUCUUUGGGGGAAGUCCCUGCGCUGGGGGGGGGCUGCUGGAGACGGGGGGGAGAAAGGCAAUCUCGCAGCCAAUGAGCCCUGCCAGGCUGGGGUGAAGAAGAGAGCAGAGGGAUUUGGGGAAGGAAAGAGGAAAAAAAAAAAAAAAAAAAGAAGAAGGGAAGAAAGGAGGGGGACCAUCCUCCCCACCACCUCCGCCAGCAUCGCCACCACCAUUGACACCGCUCCGAGUCUCCAGUUGCGCCCAUGCCUGUGCCGCCAGUUUCGGUUUAGGGGCUGAACCACAGGGGCUGAAGAAAAUGGGGCAGAGCGCGCCCCGGACCCUUCUGCUGCUGCUGGCGGGGCUGCUGGGGGAGGCUCUGGCGGGGUUCCCCAACACCAUCAGUAUAGGUGGACUUUUCAUGAGGAACACUGUUCAGGAGCACAGUGCAUUUCGAUUUGCUGUGCAGUUAUACAACACAAACCAAAAUACCACAGAAAAGCCCUUCCAUUUGAACUAUCACGUAGAUCACUUGGACUCUUCCAACAGUUUUUCAGUGACAAAUGCUUUCUGUUCACAGUUUUCCAGAGGAGUUUAUGCUAUCUUUGGAUUCUAUGACCAGAUGUCAAUGAACACACUGACGUCAUUUUGUGGAGCCCUUCAUACAUCCUUCAUCACGCCCAGCUUCCCAACAGAUGCAGAUGUGCAGUUUGUCAUCCAGAUGCGGCCGGCGUUAAAAGGAGCCAUCUUGAGUCUCUUGACGUAUUAUAAGUGGGAAAAGUUUGUGUACCUCUAUGACACAGAGCGGGGAUUUUCUAUUCUUCAGGCGAUUAUGGAAGCAGCAGUACAGAACAACUGGCAAGUGACAGCCAGAUCUGUAGGAAGCAUAAAGGAUGUUCAAGAGUUCAGAAGAAUUAUAGAGGAGAUGGACAGACGACAAGAAAAAAGAUACUUAAUUGACUGUGAAGUAGACAGAAUCAACACCAUUUUGGAACAGGUUGUAGUCCUCGGCAAACAUUCUAGAGGCUAUCACUACAUGUUAGCUAACCUGGGUUUCACAGACAUUGUUCUGGAGAGAGUAAUGCAUGGAGGUGCCAACAUUACUGGAUUCCAGAUUGUUAAUAAUGAAAACCCAAUGGUUCAACAGUUUCUACAGCGCUGGGUGAGGCUUGAUGAAAGGGAAUUCCCUGAAGCUAAAAACUCACCAUUAAAGUACACAUCUGCACUGACCCACGAUGCAGUCCUGGUCAUAGCUGAGGCUUUCCGCUACCUCCGAAGACAGCGUGUGGAUGCCUCCAGGAGAGGCAGUGCUGGAGACUGCCUGGCUAACCCUGCAGUGCCCUGGAGCCAAGGAAUUGAUAUCGAAAGAGCGCUGAAAAUGGUGCAAGUUCAAGGAAUGACAGGGAACAUCCAGUUUGACACCUAUGGGCGGAGAAUGAAUUACACAAUUGAUGUGUAUGAAAUGAAAGCUGGUGGAUCACGGAAGGCUGGUUAUUGGAAUGAAUAUGAAAGAUUUGUGCCAGCAUUAGAUCAGCUGCCCUCUAAUGACACUUCAUCAGUGGAGAACAGAACUAUAGUAGUCACUACCAUCUUGGAAUCACCAUAUGUAAUGUAUAAGAAAAACCAUGAACAACUAGAAGGGAAUGAGAGAUAUGAAGGAUAUUGUGUAGACUUAGCUUCUGAAAUAGCAAAACAUGUUGGAAUAAAAUACAAACUGUCAAUUGUUGGAGAUGGGAAAUAUGGAGCUAGGGACCCUGAGACUAAGAUAUGGAAUGGCAUGGUGGGUGAACUGGUCUAUGGGAGAGCAGAUAUAGCUGUUGCCCCCCUCACCAUAACAUUGGUGCGAGAAGAAGUCAUAGACUUUUCCAAACCCUUUAUGAGCCUGGGCAUCUCCAUCAUGAUCAAGAAGCCUCAGAAAUCUAAACCGGGCGUGUUCUCUUUCCUGGAUCCUUUGGCUUAUGAAAUUUGGAUGUGUAUAGUCUUUGCUUACAUUGGCGUCAGCGUAGUUCUUUUCCUAGUCAGCAGAUUCAGCCCUUAUGAAUGGCACUUGGAAGACAGCACUGAAGAACCACGUGACCCUCAGAAUCCUCCUGACCCUCCAAAUGAGUUUGGAAUAUUUAACAGCCUUUGGUUUUCCCUGGGUGCCUUUAUGCAGCAAGGAUGCGAUAUUUCUCCAAGAUCUCUCUCAGGGCGAAUUGUCGGAGGAGUCUGGUGGUUCUUCACUCUCAUCAUUAUCUCUUCCUACACUGCUAAUCUCGCUGCCUUCCUCACGGUGGAAAGGAUGGUUUCACCCAUAGAGAGCGCAGAGGACCUGGCUAAGCAAACCGAAAUAGCCUAUGGCACUCUGGAUUCAGGUUCAACCAAAGAAUUCUUUAGAAGGUCAAAAAUAGCUGUCUAUGAGAAAAUGUGGUCGUACAUGAAGUCGGCCGAGCCUUCGGUGUUCACCAAAACGACGGCGGACGGGGUGGCGAGGGUGCGGAAGUCCAAGGGGAAGUUUGCCUUCCUGCUGGAGUCGACCAUGAACGAGUACAUCGAGCAGCGCAAGCCCUGCGACACCAUGAAAGUUGGAGGCAACCUGGAUUCCAAGGGCUAUGGUGUAGCAACCCCCAAAGGCUCAGCAUUAAGAAAUGCUGUUAACCUGGCAGUAUUAAAACUGAAUGAGCAAGGCCUCUUGGACAAAUUGAAAAACAAAUGGUGGUACGACAAAGGAGAGUGCGGCAGCGGGGGAGGUGACUCCAAGAACUCCUGUAAACCUUGCAGUAUUGAAACUCAGUGAACAAGGCAUCUUAGACAAGCUGAAAAACAAAUGGUGGUACGAUAAGGGUGAAUGUGGAGCCAAGGACUCCGGAAGUAAGGACAAGACGAGCGCUCUGAGCCUGAGCAAUGUUGCCGGGGUGUUCUAUAUCCUGGUGGGAGGCCUGGGGCUGGCCAUGAUGGUGGCACUGAUCGAGUUCUGCUACAAGUCUCGGGCCGAGUCCAAGCGAAUGAAACUCACCAAGAACACGCAGAACUUCAAACCUGCUCCCGCCACCAACACCCAGAAUUACGCCACCUACAGAGAAGGCUACAACGUGUACGGCACAGAGAGUGUGAAAAUCUAGGGAUCCUCACCCUGACAGCUUGCAAGAGGAAAAGCAGCAGAGAAUGUGGCUACUUCAUGGAUUUGGACCACCUGAGCCAGUCGUACUCUCUCCGAGGUGUCAGGCGUGACACGCAUUGAUGAUGGUGCAAUGUACUUUUAAUAGGAAAAACUGAUUUUUUUUUCCUUCAGUGCCUUAUGGAAGACUCUGAGACUCACAACAAUGCAAACCAUCACUGAAAUAUUCUUGCUUUGCUUGAAAGAAGUAAAAGAAAAUAAGAGAGGAAAAGGAAAGAAAAAAAAAAUAAAAAAAAAAAAGAGAGAAAAAGAGAAUAAAACAAAAAAAAAAAUGAGAAAAAGGAAAAAGAAAAGGAAAGGACUGGUAACAAGGUAUUGGUAUGUGGAAAAAAAAAAAUCUUGUAAAAAAAAUCAGUGCAACAAAAGCCAUUCUUUGAUACCACUGCACAGUAACUGAACUUGUGUCCUGAAAGCAAAUCGCAGCCGGUUUCAUCAGCCACCCCAAUCGUAUCAAAUUAUGAAACUCCUCCUGACACAAAGCCUCAGAAAUCUGCUGCGUGCGAACACAGACCGGCCUGCCACUGCUUGUAUGAGCUGAUGUCAAGAUGUUUCAGUAUUUACUUACAGUGGUGUGAUUUUAAUUUUUUUUCUGGGCCACUUUGAUCUCUCCAGCUAAUUUGAGCAAUUCUGUAUAGCAGUAAAAGGUGUAACACCUGAAGAAAAGAAUCUGUGAGUGCAAACCAAUUAAGGUCAAUGACUAUGAAUCUGUAAAUCCAAAAGAAGGGAAUUUGUGGAACUGCAUGACUUGCUUCCAGAUCAGUAAAUUAAUUCCUUGACAAGGUAGCUAAAGUGUGGGCAGAAAAUAUUGCAUUCCUUUUUUGUUCUAUCAUCAGGCAUACCUACAGGUGCUUUAUUAAAGUGACAUUGGGUGGCUUUUAAAACAAAAAAAAUAAAAAAUAAAAAAAGGAAAAGCUACUUGCUCUUUAGGUUCAGACCAUAUAUCUCUUUUCUUGCUGUGCAUUUGCAUUUUAAUUCACUGUUUAAUAUCAAGAAAUGAAGCAAAGAAGGGCAGGUUAGUUUUUCCCAGGCCUGCUUCUGCUUCACCCCAGUUCUCUCCCAACUAGCACUGUGCUCAGCUAAUGCUUCUCAGUAAUGGUCCUUGUGAAACAGAAGUAAGGGAAGAGGGUAGUAACUCCAAUUAGAGCCGCAGUUCCAGAGUAAUAGUAAGCGAUCUAACAUGACUCCUGCUAGUACUGUUAUAAUAUAUCAGCUCCUGCCAACUCUUGUUUCGUGGCUCCUGGUGAGAGGAUGCUCCUGUCCCUGCCCCUCAGGGAGGAGGACACCGCCAGCUCUGCUCCAGGCAGGGGCUCGCUAUUACUCACAUCCAACAUCUUAGACAGCAGCAUUUCAGCCUUGAACCUCUGCCUGGAAACUACUUAACUUCAUCUUUAAAAAAAUAAAAAUUAAAAAAAAAAAAAAAAAAAAAAAAAAAAAAAAAAAAAGAAAGAAAAAGAAAAGGAAAAGACAAAAAAAAAAAAAAAAACACACGAAAACAAACCAACCACAAACCUUUAAACAUAUUGUCAAUCACAUGGGAAAUGUUCAAUGGAAUAUCUGCAUACUAAUUACCUCUAAUCGACAAUAUGUAUUUUCUGUAGUUUACGAUAUAGAGUUUUAUUUCAUCAGUAACAUACAAUGAAAAAGAAGCUCAUUUAAACCAGUCUGACCUUUAGGCGUUUAGUUUGCUGAUGAUAGAUUUGAACUUUUAAUAGGAUUUAAAAACAAAAAGCAAAAAAAAGAAAAAAAAAGAAAAAGAAAAGAAAGUCUCGUAAAAAAUAAGUAUUUCCAACAAA